AAUGUGGGGCUCGAUCUCAUGAACCGUGAGAUCAUGACCUGAGCCAAAAUCAAGAGUCGAAAGCUUAAGUGACUGAGUCACCCAGGCACCCCUUGGGUGUAUCCUUCCAAAGACGGCUGCAUCAAUAUUUAUCUCCCAUUCAACAUACCCUUCUCACGAAUGUGCUGGAAAUAAUGAUGUACGACGUCCAAGGCCAGGUCAUCAAAAGGAUGCAGCUUCCAUCUAGAUCUCCCUCUCUGUCCGGACACUCCUACUUGGGAUCCAGCCGCCAUGUUGUAAGAAAGCUCAAUCUGGCCCACUUGGACAUGAGAAGGGCCCAUGGAUGGAGGAAAUGAAGCCCCCAGAUGAUAGUCAGCACCAACAGUGGACAGACAAGGUCCCAGCCUUUAAAUAAGUCUCCCAGCGGAGAACUCACUCAUACAGAGCAGAGACAAGCCAUCCCCACCAUGUCCCGUCUGGAUCCAAGGCUCACGCACUCGUUUUAUUAGCUCCAUUUUGUCAGUGAGGAAAUUAAAGCUCAUGGAGACAGAGUGGCUUAUCCCACGUCAAGCAGUCAGGGCAGGGCAGGGCCAGCAUUCAAACCUGGCCCCCCCUUCUGCAUUUCCUCCCUGCUUCUUCCAUGACUCGUCCCCUCCAUUAACAUGCUUCGUGCACAUUCUUUCUCUCUCCCUGCUAUACUGUGGGCUUCACGAGGCAGCGGUGUUCAUCAGCAAGUCCUUACGAGGUUUCCAGCUCUGCUCACCGGCCCCAGGGCACAGCCAUGCGCAUACGGAAACAGCAGCAGCAAAGGGCCAAGGGGGCAUCCACUCAGCCGGCCCCCGUGCCACAGAAAGGCUGGAAGGAAGGAGGCCCCGUGCUGGCAGAGCCUGGGGACCCAGGAACCCCUGGGAAAGAGCAUGCACACCAAGGCAGAAACAGGGAAACCCGCUCCACUCCACCCCAGUUCCAGCUCCCGGUCCCCCUGCCUCCCAGGCUCCCAGGAGUGUGGACGAGGCUGGCCAGCACCUCAGCAUGCGAAUCCAGCGUGAUGGACGGUACGUAGCCUUGACAAUGACAGUGGCAGUGCCCGCUGUCCCCGAAAUGCUCCCUCCUGGGCCCUCGGGAGACACGACGCCCACAGCUCCGUCUAUCCCACCCACCUGCUGCCGCUGGCCUGGCAGGAAGUGGAUGAGCCCAGCCCUGUCCAGGAACAGGGGGAUGGGCGGAAUGCCCUGUCUAGGACGGCCCACAUCUGAUCUCCUCUCAAGGGAAGCAUGGCGUUGAAGAAAGCACCAGAGCUUCUGACUCAGGGAAAUGUAGGUCUGACUUGCCCCUCUGCUCUUUCUUUUUUAAGUUUAUUUAUUUUGAGAGAAGGAGAGCAGGGGAGGGACACAGA